rnacentral:lncRNA from 7 species
UGUUGGAUUUUCGAAAGAAAAACGUGUUUCCACAUAAAUGGGGAUUUGCGAAGAGAAAACACGUGAUUUUCGCAUAAAUGGGGGAUUUGAGAGAGAAAUGCGUGUUUUUCGCUUAAAUGGGGGAUUUGCGAAGAGAAAACGCGUGAUUUUCGGGUUAAAUGGAAGAUUCCUGAAGAGAAAACGUGUGAUUUUUGCUUAAAUGGCGGAUUUGUGAAGAGAAAACGAGUGUUUUUCGUUAAACGGGGAAUUUGUGAAGAGAAAACGCGUGAUUUUCGGGUUAAAUGGGGGAUUUUCGAAGAGAAAACACGUGUUUUCCACAUAAAAGGGGAAUUUGCGAAGAGAAAACACGUGAUUUUCGCAUAAAUGGGGGAUUUGAGAAGAGAAAAUGCGUGUUUUUCGUCAAUCCCCCAUUUAAGCGAAAAACACGCGUUUUCUCUUCACAAAUCCGCCAUUUAAGCAAAAAUCACGCGUUUUCUCUUCAGGAAUCUCCAUUAACCAAAACACCGUUUAAAUCC